GAAAUUAGCGCGCACAACGUCGUGUGUUGCCGCCGCGGGCGCACAGCAUCGCCACACGUCCGCGACUCACCGCGCUUGCGUAACACGCGGACACCAGUGCAUCUGCGCUUCGUGCUCCUGCGCACCACCAUGGGCCGUCUGCACACCUUCGUGGUGACGCUGCACCGCGACUCGCGCGACAUCAACUGGGGCCUGCGGCUCGUCGGCGGCGCGGACCUCGCCACGCCGCUCAUCGUCACCAGGGUGACAGCCGGCACGCCUGCAGGGAAGGAGCUGGUGCGCGGCGACAUCAUCGCGAAGAUCGACGACUACGACGCGCGCGACCUGCGCCACGAGGACGCGCAAAACCUCUUCAAGAACGCGCCCAGGCAGAUCAAGCUGGUAGUGCAAAGGGGCGGCUCCAGUCCUCAUCUGUACACGGUACCCCGCACCACAGGCAGCUUUGUAGGGCGCGUCCCCACGCCCACAUUCUUUCACGAGUUCGCGGAGAACGUGGACGGUGAGCCUCCAAGACCGGCCGGCACUCCCAUGGCGCCGCGCUCGCCCAUCCCCAACGCCACGGCUACGCCUUUCAGGACGGUGAGCCCGACGCCGGCGCCGGCGUUCCGCGGCCCGGAGUCGCUGCCGCGCAGCACGCCCGUGCCGCCCGCCACGCCCGGCCUGCCCGGCUCCUACCCCACGCACCACGACGACUACCGCAACAUGCUGCUGUCGCCCGCCUCCAACCGCACCGACGACACUAUCGAUGAGUCGAUACACUCUCAGCCUUACCGCACGACGCCGCUGGUGCUGCCGGGCGCGAAGGUGCGCCGCGAGCCGGGCCCCACGGAGAGCUACCUGCGCCACCACCCCAACCCCGCCAUGCGCGCGCCCCCCAGCCACGACUACCGCGAUACGCUUAUGAGGCAGAAGGUGGCCGAGUCGGUGUUGCAGCGAGUGGUGGGCGAAGAGGGACCUAAGAUGGUGCACAAGCAGUUCAACUCGCCCAUCAACCUAUACUCUGAGCAAAACAUCGCCAACUCGAUCAGGCAACAGACAUCGCCACUGCCCUCUAACGGCCAUUACGGACGGCCGCACGUUGUCAAGAGGCAAGUGUUUUACUAGAAACACCACGAUACAACAGUCGACGCCCAACUUCAUGACGCAUUAAUGCUUAUUUUAUUAUUAUUUUGCUACCUUUCGUCUGUCAAACUGUCUAUAUCAUGCAACGCUCUGUACUUAUCGUCGAGCAUGGUGACGUCGUCGACCUGUUGGUUGUUGUUGACAACCGAUCUGCGAUCUAAACGUAAAACAUUCACACGCCCAACAGUCGCCGCGCGCUCCUCUGAGCCGCGGUGAUCAUUAUUCACACCCGUAGUAGUUAAGAGUAAUAUAUCUAAUAUUUACGUAAUCAAAUACUUAUUUAAUAAUAAUUAAGAUAAUGAACUUAUUCUACAUGAUUAAUGUUAGUAUUUUUAUCGACCUCUCCUUCCUGAAACACAAACACAACUAAACGUGACCGUACGCGCACUAACCGCUUCCGCGCCCCCUAACGCCCCCACGGUAUCGAGAUUAAUGUGUUUCUGUCUAUUAUUGUGUUGCGCCCGCUAACCGACUAAAAACUAACGCCCCGCCCCCUGCGCCACCGUCCGCCACUACAGCAACAAGCCCGGCGCGUACGACCCCGCCAAGUCGGAGACGUACCGCGCGCUGCAGGAGGACGGCCUCGGCGACCAGCCCGCGCAAGAGGUGCCCACUCCCGCCACCAAGGUCUUCCAAGCGCCGGCCAACAAGAGGCCGGUGCCUCCUCCGAAACAAAACCUCGACGCGAAGCCGCACGGAAAACAAACGACCUUCGUAAACUCUCUUCACGAAGAGCACAUCCAGCAGUCGAACUCGUUCAAGCGCCUCAUGUACAACGUGCUCGGCGACACGGAGUUCUAGUCGCGUCCGCAGUCCCGCCGCACGCCUCCAGCCGCGGUCACUCAGCGCACGCCGCGUGCCCUGUAGCUGACAUGCCCCGUGCAGUACACAGUAUGCAGCGUACAGUGUACACACCACACACCGUGCCACGGUCACUCCCGACUGAUUUAGGAUGUUUUAAGGCGGUUAGAUGGCGCCACAUCUUAGACAAACCGACUUGUUGGGUUAGCAACGAAUAAGACUAACAAAUAAUUUUAGGAAGCUACCUAUAUUUUUCCUGACAGUGUGUAUAAUUAUUUUUCGGUGGAUUUAAAUUCUAAUACUCGAGUAUUAGUUAUAUGAUUUAUAUUUACAUUAAGUAGAAGUGUAAUAUUUAUUACUAAGUGUUGAUUUUCUGUUAAAUACAGAAAUAUAAUUAAUUGUUUAUGUAUACUAUGAGAAUAAAGUUGAGUGUACCGUCUAGUCAAUUCGACCAGAGCUCCGGUCGUAAUCAAGAAUAUGAAGUUCAGUGUCUUAAAUAAAUUAUUUAUUUUUAAUUA